rnacentral:piRNA from 1 species
UCUUUGCUGUUUUCAACCUACUCUUGGUA